UCAGAGCCGAUACAUCAGCAUGAGUGU
rnacentral:piRNA from 1 species